rnacentral:lncRNA from 1 species
UGGUUGGCCAAACCAAAAGAGAAGAGAAACCAAGGAAGAACAAACCCUAGGUGGGGAAAAUCAAAGAGAAAGUGUUGGAAUUCAAGGAUUUGAUCAAGCAAAGGUAAAAUUUCUUUGAUUUUGCUAGUGAUUUACCUUACCCAUGCAUUUCUCCUUAAUUUCCAUGGUUGGAUUGUAUGUUUUCAUGGGGAAAUCAUGGCUGGCCGAAUGGGUGUGGUGAGAGAAAUGAUGUUGAAAUUGUUUGAUUUUGAGUUAUGUUGGUGUUUAGAGUUAGUUAAGCAUGUUUAGAAACAAAACAAUAAGAAAAGAAUCUAUUUUUCCCAUGAACCUUCAAUGGCUGAACCCUAUGUGAAGUGUAGAAGUAAUGAAUUGAUUUUGUGAUCAAGUGAAUUGGUUGAAAAUUUGAUGAAAUGAUGAUUUAUGGUGAGAAAAUGGAAUGGGAAAAUUUUUAGUGAUAGUUCACCACAAUGGCCGAAAUUUUCAAGAAGAAUUGUGAGGGUUGUUAGGCUGAAUUUUAGAUUAUUGUAAUUGUAUUUAGUGAAUUGAAAUAUUAGAAAUGAAAUGGAGCAAUUUGGAGCCAAAUCGGACACAAUUGUCAUUUAAUUGGGUAAUAGGCCGAAUUAGGUCAGUACCGCAUUUAAGCGGUAGUCGGAUAAGUUGCAUAUCAUAUCAUGCAUAUACACCCAGCCUGAAUUGAUUUUAUAAUGGUCAAGCAUUAAUGUGGUGAAUUAUGUAUUGUACAUUGUGGAUAGAUGGUGAGCAAAUUACACUAGUAAAAGUACAGAGAUUGUGCUUGAAGAUUGGGAUUAGGAGUACAUUGACUCCUAGAACUGUGAGUAAACUUAUUAUCGUCUUAAUUAUCUAGAGUAGUUUUAUACAAUUGUGUGAUUUUAUAAAAAAUGGGUUUAAAUGGUAAAUUGCUAUGUUUUAGGAGAAAUUGUGAUUUUAUAAAUUUUCUGAAAAAUUGAAUAUUGGUUUUGAAAAUAGAGUAAUUGGAGACUGCCUGCUUGUGUUAUAAAUUGUGUUUUAAAUUAUAUGGCUUAUAGCAAUAUGUGAGCAUGAAUGGCAAAGUCGGUAUUUGUAUCAAAAUUAUAUAUACUAUGUAUUCAGCCUUGAGAGGCUAGAUUGCGAUAAAUUGCCAUGUCAUGUAGAUAAAGAUUUUAUAAAUUAGGUGGUAGAUAAAAUAAUCCAUAAUCCCUGCAGUGGAGGUUUUGUGGACCAGCCUAAGAGAGGGGGCACAGAAUCAGAUAUACCUUACCUAGAUCAGAGAGUCGUGUGAAGGGUUUCUCUAGACAUAAAGUUUGAGUGCACUUCACGUGGACCACCGAGUAAGAGUGAGACUCAACCAACGCCAAGGCAUGGCUAGAAUUUCGGAUGUAAAGACAUUUAAUAGCCUUGGUGGUCUCGGUUAGAUGCCUAGGCCAAGGCAUUCCUGGGAAUGAUUUUUGGCAGGAGCCAAGUUUUGUGAGAUAUAUAAGCCACGUUGAUCAAUUGAGUAAACUGAAUAUUCAUGUUAUGAAACAUAUAUUGGAAAAGAAUAUUUUAAUUCGUCUCCAUUUACUCGCCUUUAGAUAGUUUAGAUGGUGUUUGUUUACUCACUGGGAUUUUAUAAUUUCACCACCCCCAUUUCCUCACAUUUCAAACUUGGGGAAUUCCACAGUUAGCUGACUUUGACAAAGACCUUCAUUUGGACUUGAAUCGGCAAAAGCUGUAGGUUUUCAGCUUCUGAUGCAUUUUGGUUAGAUGUGGGCCCACAUGUCGCUGUAAAAGUAAUUUUAUGCUUUGGUUAUUUGCUUUAUAGUAUGUAUGAAUAUAAUUAACUUUUACGCUAUAAGAAUUAUUUACUGAUAGCUUUAUAAAAAUUAUUUUACAAGAAAAUAGUUUAUUUUAUUGAAUAUUUUUAUUAUACUCAAAUGAUCAAUUUUCACUUCAAAUGAAUGUUUUAGAUACUUAAUUUGUUUUUAAAUCACUAAAUAUAUAUUUUCUGCUUACCUACUACAUUUUUAGCAAGUUUUGAGAUUUUCGACGAAAAAUGACGAAAAUGCCCUUGUGAGCCAAAAAACAAUCUGUUAUGUUCUGAUUUGAAAAUGACUUGUAAUCCUUCGAAUUAUGAUAUUUGAUAACUAUUGCUCACUGGGGAAGUACGAAAGCUGAUACGAGAGUCUUGCGAGGUUUAGAUCGGCAUUUGGGGUGAAGAAUGUUUGUAGAGGCUUCGCGGCGGUUGUCAUGGGCCCAAUGGGGAGUUCUGGGUUGUGACACCUUUUUUAUCUCUGAUUUCGAGAUCUAAUUCUUGAAGCAAUAGAAUCCAUCAUAUCAAUCUUGGCUUGGCAUCUUUCUUACCAAUCAAGUACUUAAUUGUAGCAUGGUUAAUGUAGACAAUAGCUUUAGUGCCAACUAAGUAUGCACGAAACUUAUCAAAUGCAUAAAUAAAAGCUAAUAAUUCUUUUUCAGUGGUAGUAUAAUGCAUCUAAGUUUCAGUCAAUGUCUUACUAGCAUAAUAUAUAUAAUGAAAUUUUUUUCCUUUUCUCUGACCUAACACUGCACCUAUAGCAUAGUCACGAGCAUCACACAUAAGCUCAAAUGGAAGCGUCCAAUUAGGAACUAUAAUGAUGGGUACAGAUACUAAUUUCUUUUUCAAUUCUACAAAUGUUGUAUGACAUACAUCAUCAAACUUAAAGGAAUCAUCCAUUUCCAACAAGUUACACAAAGGUUUGGAAAUUUUGGCAAUGUCUUUGAUAAACCUCCUGUCAAAACCUACAUGACUAAGAAAACUUCUAAUACCUUUUAUCGAAGAAGGUGACUGAAGUUUCUCAAUUGUCUCUAUCUUGGCUUUGGCUACGUUUAAUCCUUUGCUUGAAACCUUAUGACCAAGGACAAUGCCUUCUUGCACCAUGAAGUAGCCUCUAUCCUAAUUCAACAUAAGGGUCAUUUCUUCACACCUUCUCAAUACCUUGUCAAGAUUCAACAAACACUCAUCAAAAUUGUUACAAAACACAAAGAAAUAAUCCAUAAAUACCUCCAAGAUCUAUUCCACCAUAUCAAAGAAGAUGGCCAUCAUGCAUCUUUGAGAAGUUGCUAAAGCAUUGCAUAGUCCAAAUGGCAUACUUUUGAAGGCGAAAGUACCAUAACGGCAUGUAAAGGUGGUCUUUUCUUAAUCCUCCAAAACUAUAACAAUCUGAUUGUAUCUUGAACACCAAAAAAAAAAUAAUAAUAAAACUCCUUGCCAACCAACCUAUCUAACAUGUGACCAAUAAAUGGCAAAGGAAAAUGAUUUUUUCUCGUGGCCUUAUUAAGCUUCCGAUAGUCCAUAUACACUUUCCAUCUAGUCAUUGUCCUUUGAGGAAUGAGUUCAUUGUUCUCAUUUUCUACCACAGUCAUCCCACCUUUUUUCGAAACACAUUGAACCAGAUUUACCCAUGCACUAUCUGAUAUAAGAUAAAUGAUGCCAACAUCCAACCAUUUGAAGAUCUCUUUCUUCACCACCUCUUUAAUAAUCGGAUUGAGUCUUUUAUUGUGCUCAAUGGUGGCUAUGUGAUCUCCAACAGAAUCUUAUGCAUACAUAUCAAAAGACUAAUUCCCUUUAUGUUUGCAGUUGUCCAUCCCAAUGCUUUCUUGUGCUCUUUUAAACCUUUCAAAAACUUAACUUCCUGCAUGUUAGUAAGAAUAGAAGAAAUAAUCACAAUAAGAGUAAAAGAGUUAACAUGAUAUGCAUACCUUAAGUGAUUUGGCAAAAGUUUAAGUUCCAACUUAGGUGGCUCUUCAAUAGAUGGCUUUUGUUGAUGAAGAUGAAAAAGAUAAGAAAUCUAGUGUCUCAAAUUGUGUUCUCAAGGCACGGGAUAGGUCAUCCAAUAAAUUUACACAUUCAAUGACAUCAUCAUCAAGUUUCUCAGAAUCAGUUACUAAGGAAGCUUUAAGAGGGUCAUUAGGGUGGUUUUCCCUAAGCACUCUACUUGUGACUUUAUCAACUACACUUACUACAAAACACUCAUCAUGAUCAUUAUGAAACUUCAAAGCUUUAAAAAUAUUGAAAGUUACCUCUUGAUCUUGCACUCUCAAGGUAAGCUCUCUUUUCUCCACAUCAAUAAGUGCUCUAGCAGUGCGUAAGAAAGGUCUCUUGAGGAUAAUUGGGACUUCUCUAUCCUCCUCCAUAUUGAGAACAAUGAAAUCAGUCAGAAAGAUAAACUUGUCAACUUUCACUAGCACAUCUUCAACAAUACCUCUCGGAUAUGUGAGAGUUCAAUUAGUAAGUUGUAAAGUUACAGUGGUAGGCUUAAUAUGCCCUAAACCCAAUUUAUUGUAGAUAAACAAAGGCAUCAAAUUAAUACUAGCUCCCAUAUCACUCAAAGCAUUGGCAAAAAAUAAUGCAACAAUAGUGCAUGGAAUAGUAAAGCUACCAAGAUUCUUAAGCUUAAAAGAAAGCUUGUUUUGAAUAAUUGCACUGCACACCUUAGUGAGUGCCACUGUCUCAAACUCACCCAGCCUUUUUUUCUUAGACAAGAUAUCUUUUAGAAAUUUUGCAUACAAAGGCAUUUGCUCUAAAGCCUCUACACAAGGAAUAUUGAUGUGAAGCUUUGCAAACAUCUCUAUAAAUUUCUAAAACUGGCUUUUGUUUCUUGAAGUGUUAAGGAAAAGGUGAUGGUGGUAGAGUUGCCUUUACUUCCUUUUCUUGACGUUGCUCACUAUAACUUGCAAUCUGUGUCUCACUCUCAAUUGUUUUACCUUUUUGUUCAACUUGCUUUGAGUUGCUUUCAACUUCCUUACCACUUCUUAAGGUGAUGGUUUUGACAUGUUCCUUACUUUCUUUCUUUGAAUUUGCCUCUGUAUCACUAAGUAAGGUCCCAUAGGCUCUAUUCUUUAUCGUGUUGGCGAGUUAACCUACUUGGGUUUCAAAGUUCCUUAACGAGGCGACCUAACUAUAUAUAAAGGAGUCGAUCAUGGCCAUGUACUGCAUCAUCAAUUCCUCCAUAGAUGGUUUCUUUUAUGGAAUUGGAGCUUUUUCUUGUUGUUGGAAUCCAAGACGAUUAUUCAGUCUUAGAGCUAUAGAUGAUCCUUGAUUAUUACCCCAAGAGAAGUUUGGAUGGUUCCUCCACCCAAGGUUAUAAGUGUUGGAGUAAAGGUCGUUCUGUUGUCUAUUCCUCACAAACUAAACUAUCUCUGUGCUACUUGGACACUUAUUACUAGCAUGCCCAUCUCCACAAUACUUACAAACUACAAAAGGAAUAUGAAUUGAGUUAGCACCAAAUGAAUCAAGUUGUUUUGUUAGAGCUACUUCUUAUGCUAUUAAUGUUGAAAUGGUGUCCAACUCAUGAAUUCUAGCUACUCUCCUAUGCAUUGAUUGUUCUAAUGGCCACUGGUAAUUGUUCGAUGGCAUCUCCUCCAACAAGUCGUAUGCCUCAUCAAUUGACUUUGCCAUGAAAGCUCUUCUCGCAGCAGCAUCAAUAGUGGUUCACACCUGACCACUCAAUCCAUUAUAGAACAUUUGCACUUGAACCACUUUGGAAUACCAUGAUGAAGGCAACGCCUAUAUAGAUUUUUGUAUCUCUCACCAGGUGUCAUACAACGAUUUCGCAUUUAACUGCAUGAAUGAUGUGAUAUCAUUCCUUAUCUUUGCUAUCUUGUCUAGAGGAAAGAAUUUGGUAAGGAACUUCUGAUCAAGGUCAUCCCUUGUUGUAAUGGAUCCAGUAUGAAGUGAAUUUAGCCACACUUUUGCUUUAUCCCUCAAUGAAAAAGGGAAAAGUCUUAAAUGAAUCACAUCAUCUAUGACUUUAUUGUGUUUAAAGGUGUCACAUAUCUCUAGAAAGUUCAAGAUGUGGGCAUUUAGAUCAUCAUUUGGAAGACCUCCAAAUUGGACCGAAGUCUAGAUCUUGGUGAUGAUGGCCAACUUAAUUUCAAAAUUGUUGGUUUAAAUAAUUAGCUUAUGAAUGCUUGAAGGAAACAUUUGUACCAAUGUAACAACAUAAUCCCUUAAGCAACAAUUCUCUUCCACUACUCUUUCUUGGAUUUGUUGCUCACCUUGUCAAUCAGCUAUUAUAUCAGCUUGAGCAAAACCUUGUUGAUUUUCUCAUCUCAUUCUUCUAAAUAUUUUCUCAAUCUCUAGAUCACAAGAUACAAUCUCCAAACUUUUUGCUCUUCUCAUACAAUGAUGGAACAAACCUAUAAAAGAAAGAAAUAAAAACUCGAAUUAAGACAAAUUUGUGAAUAUUAAUAUUAGCAAAAUAAAUACAAAACACAAAUUCCCAACAUUGGUGCCAAAAACUUGUUGUUGAUUUAGUACACACAAGUAUACAUAUCGAACAAAUAAUAUAAACAGUAAGUCCAUAAUCAUAUCCCAUAGGGAUUUACUCCUAAUUUUUCACUAAGUACUAAAAUUACGACAAAGUAACUAGAAAAUCAAUUAAAACUAAAUUCAAUCAAACAAAAAACUAAUUAACAGAAACUAAAAAUUCAUUAAAGGAAGACAAUGGACUAAAACUCAGGAUUAUAGGUUUAUUUAACAUUUCAUCUAACAUCUGUUUCUCUCAUUAUUUACAAUCAUGGGCGGUUUUGCUAACAUAGAAUCCAAAACUAUGCACAAGUUUUUUGUCAAGAUGCUUGCACAAAUAUCUAACUUAAUUGGUUUACUAAAUGUCUAUAGCAAUCAAUUACAUAAGGUUCAUAAGCUAGUGCUCUGAUUUGGCUAUGUAUGGCAUUUAGGCAUAUGUUUAUCCUAAUUGCGAAUUAGAUCACCUAAUCUCUAAGUGACAUGAAUAUACACUAUUCAAACUUUAGUACAAUCUAAAUUUACUCUGUUGAGUCUCAUUCAGAUUAACAAAUCAUUUAAUUGCUGGCCAGACAAUUAAAAGCAUUACGAACAAAUUUGAAUAAAUAUAAUCAUACCCAUUCAUAAUAAAUAAAAGAGAAACAAAUACACAGAUUAUGUGUUGAAAUACACCACAAUCCUAGAAAAAUAAUUUAGCUCAUAAUAUCUAAUAAAAACAUUAUCCAAAGAAAAUUAGCUAUUAAUCCAAGUCAAAGAAAUUAAAAGAAGAACAAAAGUAAGAGAGAAACUAAUAAUUGAAAAUUUUUUAUCUCAAUUCUCUCUCAAAUUCUCUUUCAUUCGUGUUUUGUUUUUUACUCUUCUUCUCCAAACCGUCUUCUUUUGAAAGCCUUUGAAAAAGUUCCCUUAAAUAGUCCAUAAAGCCUUAGUUUACAAAAAUCCCGAAACAAUUUUAUUUUUGUAAGUACAUCUGGCAUCGCGGCCUUAUCUUCCUUGGUGCCACGGUGCCGUAGUCUCGAGAUGAAGUACGACGCCCAAUUGCCUUAUGGGGCCAUGACGCUACUUUCUUUAACAUCGCGACCCUCUACUCGCAAGUGAAGUAUUGGAGCACCACUUCCACCAAUGUUGCAACCCCACUUCUCUAGCACCACGACGAUGUACUCUCUAGUUUUUGUAUGGGGUGCUGGUGCAUCUUGGUGUCGCAGCUUUGAGUAACUCAAGGCCGCGACCUUCACUUCCUUAUGUUGCCUUAUGCAUAACUACAACAAUCUAACCUCUUCCAAUUUGUUUUUUACCUCAAUUUGAUCUGAACUGAGUAAAAUGGUAAACGUAAAAGUUAUAUCCCAAUCUCUUAGCUUUCCAAUGACUUAAGAAUCAUGUCAACUGGACUUCUAUAGAUCAAGUUAUCUUCAAAAUAUUACAAAUACGAAUAAAGCCAUCAUCUUAUUUGCACGGAUUUUCAUCAAACUAAGACUUUUUCAUCGAACUUCCUACAAGAGCAAUAAAAUAAAUCAAUAAUAACUAGACUUAAAGUAAUUUAAAGUAAAAUAACAUAAAAUUAAACUAACAUACUUAAAUUAACUAAUCAACAUGUUUAAACUAAAUUAGGUAAAUAACUAAAAUACUUAAAUGUCAAAUAUAAAAUAUGAAAAACUUAACUAUUCAAACCUUAAAAUAUUACAAAAUAAUUCUAAAUAAUAGAGUUAUCAUCAACCACUGUAGCAGAUGCUCCCAACUUCCUUCUCUUUCUUCCUUAGACCAAAAUCCAAAAGGGAGGAAGAAACCAAAAUCCAAGAGGGACAUAUUGAAAUUUUUUGGGUUUUUCUGAUAAUAAUUUUGCUGGUUUUUUUUUAAGGUAAAUUACACUUUGCCUUUUUAAGUUUUGAUUAUAAUUCAAUUUUGGCCUAUUAGAAUUAACUAGACAUAAAAAUCUUGCGGUUAAAGCUUUAGUGUUUUUAUGAUGUGGCAUAAAUUUUAUGUCUAUUUAACCCUUGCCUCUUUUCCUAUUUUCUCCCUUUUUUUUUCUUUUUCUCUCUCUUAUUCUCGUUUUAGUUUCUAUUUAAGACCUCUUUCAACAGCCGGCCACCUUUUCCAGAAUCGGACAUGUGGCCACUGCCAGCGUCGCCGCCUCCCGUCACUGGAUGGCCAUCGGCCACCACUCACCGAAUCCAAAAAAAAUCCAAAAGAUCCCCUCGAACCUCUUUUUCAAUCUAUUAAUUGGUAAUUGGGUGGUAUAAGACAAAAAGGUAGGAUGAGAAUGCGGAAUAUCAGUCUCAACCCAAGUAAAAGAAAACUUUAAAGGUUGGGAAAGGAUUAUUACAUGAAUACAAUCUCCAGAAUCUUCAAAUGUGCAGUCAAGUUUAUCAACCCCCAAUAGAGGGCCCCUUUUGUCUCACCUGAUUUAAAGCCUUGGAAAAAGUCCUUUAUCUGCACUAAUUUUUAGAAAAGGAAAGAUGCGAAGGCCAAGGUCAAGCAGACGUACAGUGACCUCAUAGCAUCUCUUUAGGUAACAAAGUAAAUUGAUGUACUUUUUUCAUGACAGUGUGAACAUGCUUGGUUCCCCAUUACCUGGUGGUGAUUGCAAUUGAUGAAUUUCUUUUCAUCGAGGUAGAGAUAGAGUAAGUGUUUUGCCAUUAUUGUUUGUCAGUUUAUGUUUGCAGUCGGCUGUUUUACUGACCAAAUCUAGACAAAAAUGCUGUUUUUUCUCUGAAAAACAAGUAAUCAUAUUAUGAAUGCUCAAGCAAUAUGUCCCAGAAAAACUAACAAAGGAACAAAAAUGAUGCUUAUAAAGCUGCAUCUAAACCACGAUUCAGAACUUUUUAGACUUCUACACUAGUAACACACACACACAAAAUGAACACUUGGCUCCAGUACACGUUGAUGGCAUAUUUCCUUAAUGGUACGUGUCUUCUUGGGACAGAGAUCCAAAGGAAAGAACUUCUUCUUAUAAGCUUCUCGAAGCGUGAUUUUUGCUUCUUGAAAAUCACCGAUUUUUGUUCUGUGGCUUGUGCUGCUGAUUUACUGAAAGGGAAAAAUACUUGGAAGAUGAACAUGUUCCCGUUGUGCUGUGGGUGGGUUUUAUUGGUGCUGAGUAUAAAUUUUUCUUGAAUUCAAAUUUUGUUAGGUAGUGUUGCCUUGGCUAAGAGAUGGCCGAGAGCAAGAAUCAAUUCUCUUUCGGUAGAGAGAAGAUUGAGAUGGGAUAGAAGCCUUGGCUACGAGAUGGCCGAGGGCAAGAAUCAUUUCUCCUUAGAGAGAAGCCUGAGAUGGGAUAGAAGCAAACGGUUGUCAAGUAUAGAAUAGACAUAAAGGACAUUUAUACGAAUAGAAUUAAAAUGAAUCUAAUGUGAAUUGGAAUUUUACUUUAGGUUUUAGGGAGUUUUAAGGGCGUAGGGGUUUGCGAUGAAGGGUAUAGGAUAUUAUCAUAACCAAAUAAAAAAGGUUUUUAUAGAAAUUGAAAUAACGAUUGACAUGUAAAACAUAACUAAUACCAGUGCUCAGAGGGAAAAGAAAAAGUCCAAUAAAAAGCACAGCAUGAUUGGUAUUAGUGCUCAAAGAGAAGAUAAUAAGGAUGAAAGCUCAACAUCAGCUACAUUAGUGAGUUGUUGAGGUUCAUUAACAGAGCACAUUCAUUCCAUAAAUCUCAACAACGCAUAUAAGCAUGAGACUAGCAGGCAACAUGUUUUCUACCAUCUUUUUAUUAAUGCCCUACUGCCACGUGCAUAGUUUUCAUUAGACCUCAUCUGACUGGGUGACAGCUGGUAUUAGAACUUGUUCCGAUACCAGAAAACACCCUUGCUGCCAGCAUCCUCAUCAGGUUCAACAUAAAGACACUCUUUGGCCUCCCUCCACAUAGCCUUGUAAACUGGAGUGCCAUCAAAACGAUAAUACUUGCCCAGUAUGGGUUUGAUUGCUUUAGUGGCCUCCAUUGCAUGAUAAUGUGGCAUUGUUGAGAAGAGAUGGUGAGCCACAUGUGUAUCUGUGAUGUUAUGAAACACUUUAUUCAACACCCCAUAAUCUCUAUCCACAGUUGCCAGAGCUCCCCUUAGCCAAUCCCAUUCAGAUGAGUCAUAAUGUGGCAAUGCUGGGUGCGUAUGUUGCAAGUAUGUGAUCAAAACAAGAAACCCGUUCACUAUGAGCAGCGGUACCCCAUAGAUGCAUACAAGCCAAGCCAACCCUUUUGUUGCAGCAAUGUUAUAGAGCACAUAAGUUGCUGCCAAUAUACCAGCAUCGGAGAUGUAAAUUUGAAGCCUAUCUCGAUUGGAGUAGAUGGGCCCAUGGGGAUCAAAGUGGCAAGCAAAACGAUCGUAGUUUCGGCCUGAAACAUUGAAGGCUAAGUACAGGGGCCACCCAAGGGUCAGUGUGAUUGCAAGGGACACAACUCGGCCUAGUGGAUUGUUUAGGUAUCUUGUAUACCAUGAUACUCUAGACUUGGGUUUAGGCACAAACACUUCAUCUCGCUCCAUGGAACCUGUGUUAGAGUGGUGGCGGCGAUGACUAUAUUUCCAUGAGAAGUAUGGAACUAAAAGGGCAGAGUGGAGAAUCAGCCCGACUGUGUCGUCAACCCAUUGGUAGUCACUGAAAGCGUGGUGACCACACUCGUGAGCAAUUACCCAAACACCUGUUAGGAUGCAGCCUUGGAGAACCCAGAAUAUAGGCCAAGCAAUGUAGGAAAGGGAGUAAGGGAGGAGAUGAAAGUAAGAUGUGGCAAUGUGGUAGAAGAGAAAGACCAAGCACAGGUCGCAAACAACAAAGGAGAAUGAACGAAGGAUGGAGCGCUGAAAACAAUGGGGAGGAACAGCAUUUUUUAUCUGACUUAGAGUGAAUGGAGGCUUCUCAUAGGGCACUCGAUGGAGGGGACUUUCCUUUUCUUCAUUCUUGUUGCUGGGGUCAGGCAUCCUUCCACCGGCAUCCACUGUUACGAGUUCCUUCUGUGCGAACCCUGGAAACGUGAAGCCGGAUCAGUUCCAAUUCUUAUAACUGAAAAAAUACACUUCAAACAGAAAUAAUAAGAAGUAAUUAUUUAUUCAAAGGUUUUAUAAGCAGAUAAAAUCCAAACAAUGUGCAUAUUAACAGUUAAGUUCAUAAUUAAAGAGGAAAAAAAAUGUACUGAAGCAGCAAAAAUACUAACAAAGAAAGUGAUUGUCAAAUGUUGAAAGAGAACAUAAGAACUAAACUAGGGAGCUUUCUAACAGAAAAAAUGCUAACCAAACUCUAACAAAUGUCGGAAAAAACAAGCAGUGUGAAAUGUUGACAAAGAACAAGAAUUAAAUAAGGGAGCUCUGCAAUAGAAAUAAAAACCAGGAAGACAUUGUCAAGCAGCAUCAGAAAGUCCAACCUACGAGGGGUCCACCACAAUCACUACAGCACUUUGUGGGGCUAAAACAAAUGUGACAGGUGAAUGCAAAAAACACUACGGUCUUCGAGCAGAUACUUCGGGGUCCAGCAAUUUAACUCUAUCCCAACAGAGGCCUGCACUUCAUGAUCCUUACCAUUGAUGCUUAAACUUGCUGACCACCCAUCAAACCUUUAUGGAAUCCAUAAAAUGGCGGAAAACGACAAAUGCCUUUGAAAGUGAAAUUAAUGUAUGUGGAGAGAAAUAGGUUCUCAAGUGCCGACCAAAAAUAAAUAUGAAACUUUUAUGUUUAACUUUCCUGCUUCAAUCAAACAAAAGUGUGAGACUCGAAAAUGUACAAAAUCCAUAUUUAGAAUUGAAAUUCUGAAAAUAAGUUGAAAGGCUCAUAUGAAAAUAUGAGAAAAAUCUCAAAUUCAUGCCCAUUACUGUAGCUUAAUGAGCUAAAAAGAACCAUUUAAUUGGAAAAAAUAAAAUUUGCCCUGAGAUGCAUACAAUUGGCUUGUUAGAUACAACAGUAAAUUUGAAGAAAUUAAGUUUCGUGUUGGAAAGCACCUUUCUGUUGCCAAUACCAUGUCUGGUUGUCUUUGGCAUGUUUUCACCUUUCUCAUUAAAAAAAGCAUUCCCAAAAAAUAGAAUGAGAAAGAAUUGCAUGAAAAAGCCAAAAAUACCACUACCCUUUCCAUAAGGCCAAAAAUCUUUCAUCUAAAGAUGGUUGACUGUAACCAGGUACCUGAAAUGCUGGCAGGUAACUUUAAUGCAUGCACGCAUCCCAUCAAAUUUAAUAUAAACAAAGCAGGAAUUGUGGCCUAGAAAAUGUAAAAAGAAUGAGAAAAAUAAAACAAGUUAUUGGAUUUUAUUUUCAGAGGGGAAAAAACGAUGGAGCUCCAUAUAUAGUAUCUGGGAUCAGAACAAAAAAAGGGUCAUAAAAUAUUUGGCAGAAUUGUUAGCAAAGACAACGCCUUGAAGCAUAGAAUAUUAGAUGCAAACGAUAAAUUUUGAUCUUAAAAAAGAGUCAUAAUGCAUUGCAUGGUAUCUUCUUCUUGUUUUUCCAUCUCCUAGCACUUUUCACUGUCAUAAAAUAUGGGUAGAGAAUCAGCAUAUUCAGCUUCUUCUUCUUCUUCUUCUCGUUGGUUUAAUUUCUCGCUUGUCCAUUUUCUUGGUGAAAAGAUGGAAAGUUUGGUAGUCAAACGCAAAACAAUAUGUCCAAAAAUCAGUUACUAAGUCUCAGAUAGCAAAACCCCCUCCAGUAAUUAGUAAACAUAAAACAAAAUGUGUAUACUUCAACGGUCAUGUAACAAACCACCAUGACACUCAAGUACAAAUAUAUCAUUAGAAAUAUUAUUCACCAAACGCAUUAUUAGAAAAAAUAAUGAAAACUGCUAAAUGAAAUCUAAAGACUACUCUUCAGUUAUCAAUCCAGAAUAACAAGAGAAACAACCCAUAAAAAAAAAAAAAAAAAAAGACAGAAACUGCAAACGAUGUUACAGCAUGAAACAUUUUUAAACAAGAAGAGAAGCAAAACCCAACAAUCAUUUAUAAAUUCAACAUAGAAUGGAAAAGCAUUAAAAGACAAAGUACCUUAGAAAGAGAAAAAGCGCUUAAUCCUUCUUAGCUUCGUUUCUUUCUUUCCCUUUCUAUGGAGAAAAUGAGUUGUUUUUCGAGUGGUUGUUGGAGGGCUGGGUUUGGGUUUUAAUUCAUCACCCUCGAUUGAAACAAAGCGAAGGAGUUUGCCUGCAUUUAAGCACUCUGUUUCGAAGUUGCAGCUUUCAUGGUGGUGGGUCCCACUAGAUUACGCUGGUCUCUAACCAUCUGCCUUCUCCCCGAGACGUGUGUACAGGCCGUGGCUUUAAUUAAUCUCCUGGCCUCAAUUCCUGAUUCGCUCUUCAUUAUCUUAUCAUCACCGUUACGGAGGCUCUAGAUCUUGCUUGACCAGGUCACCGACCGCACCUGAUCAAAUUCGAUGAAAUCUACAAAUCACCCUUGGCUUUUACUUUCGACCAAUUAUAAUUCCCGAACCUAUUUCCUUGACCUACCCUUCUCCGUCUCGAAAAUUACCCAAGUGAUAUAGAUUCUUACGUAGGGAUAACUUGAAAAUAAAUUAUACCAUUUUUUUUUUGAAUAGCAAUCAAUUAUACCAUAUAACAUACUUAUAAUGAACUUUAUAUUGUGCCAUGUAACAUACUUAUAAUGAACUUUAUACUCGGUAGGCAAAUUUUAAAUAUUGACAAACAUCAAAUUAUUUACAAACAAACAAACAAAUCACUAUAACUGCAGUACUUGAAUAGAUUUAUGUCAAUCAUUUAAACUCGUAUACAGAAUUUAAAAUCUUUCACAUUAGAUUAUGAUAAUGACUAUAGUAUCAUUUAUAAUUCUUAUUUUUGGUAAUUUUUAUAAGAUCAAUGACGGUAUUAUGACUUGAUAACGCACAUUUAUCACCAAUUAUUCAAUUAAUGAAAAGGAAGGAAAUGUUUGUUGAAUUGUUAUGCACUAAAUUCAGCAUAUAUCAUCAUUUCCGGAGUGUUAGCAAUUAGAGUUAAAAUAAUCAGGCAACAAACAAACAAAAUGAACAUUGGUCAGUCAGAAAUUCUCGGGACUUACCAAGGAAAGUUACAUCACACGUGACAUUCACGUGUCUCCAUUUCUGUUCGUUGUUAGAAUAUCUCCCCUACGUCGAGGGGAUCUUCCCUUUGGUUUUGUCACCACAAACUUUUCUGAUUUAAAAUCAGAAAUAUUUUAUUACUAGUCUUGUUUUUUUUGGUCAAACGGAAUCAGAUUUUUCUAUAUAAAUGUUUUAAUUUUUUACUGCUAGAAGAGCACCCGUGAUAUGCAGUGGAUUUAUAGAAUUUCAUAAGUAGUUAAUAUUAAAAAUUUAUUAUAAAAUUUUUGAAUGAAUAGAUAUUAAAAACUAUUUAUUGGUAUUAACAAUAUUAGUAUUACAAUUGUUGUAAACUGUUUAAAGAAAAAGAAAUAAAGUAAUGUAGUUGUUAUGAUGCAACUAUAAAAUUUGAUGCUAAAAAUUAUACAUAGUAAUGUAAAGUAUGAUUAUGCAAAUUGUGUUAAUUUUUAGUUUUAAAGUUGAGAACAAAAAAAUAUAUAGUUAUCAGUUAUGAAGUGCUGUGGAUUCACUAACUACAUAAGAAUAAUAAAUGUAUGUUUGUAUUCAGCAUUACUGGAAAGCAAAAAAGGAUGUAAUGAAGCAUAUUUGAUUCUUAAUAUUUGAGAUACAUAGAAGUAACAGUUGUUACAAAAAAUUUGUACAUUACAUCAAUCAUAAGAUGAUGAUGUGCAAAAAUUAAGACCAAGCAAUUUGGAUAAGCUCCCCUCUACUUCUUUCAUAAUUUUUCAAGUUCAAGUUGCACUUUCAAUAGUUUAACCCAUUAAACAAACCAAGAGUUCAUGAAAUUUAUCAACUUAUAAUAAAUCAUCUUUAUCGUGUCAUCUAAGCAACCUUGAGUUUUCUCUCUUACCCACACUUAAAAAACUCAAUUUUCACAUAAUUCCUUCUAAUUGACAAAUACAAUAAGCUCUAAACUUUCUCAAUCCUCUCCCACCUCACCUUUGUCAACAUCAUAAAGAGUACUCUUACUUGAUAACUUGAAUUGUUGACAUCUUUGCUUCUACAGGCAAGUCUACCUUCUGAAAUUAACUUGCAAAGUCACUUAUGGCAUUUGACAACAAAAGUGAUUCAAAAGAUUCAUUACUCAAAGAGAUAAUAUCCAUACAGCCAAAUACUUUGGAUUCUUUGCUAGCAACUUUGUCCAUGGCACCAACAAAUAUCAUUUGAAAUUUUUUCGUAUUAACAAAUAUAUUUGAAACACGUUCCCCCACCAUGUUGCUAACCUCUCCACAAUGUUGUCGUUUAAUUAGUUCAAAGAAACAAUAAUGAAAACUGAAAAUUGUAUUUGAAAAAGCUUUAUAAACAAUUAAUAAAGAAAUACAUGUUAAUCCAUAUCAAUCCUAUGUGGCAAACACACUUGUUUUAAAGUCUCAUAAUUUAAAGCAAAAGACACAAAUGAUUAAAUUAUAGACUUGAGAUUCCAAAAAUAACUUAAUCAUACAACAAAAUCAUAAAACAAAUUUCUCUCAAUAUUAACAAAUAACAAAAUAGCACAAAUUCAAUUGUUCUUCAUUUCACUUCACAUAAUAUUCAUAAUUCUCUUAUGUUUUAAGUGUGUAACUAUUGUUCCUUUUAAUUCAAUUUAAGAAUUUGAUGUGAAAUCAAAAGAAUUGGUCAACAAUUGAUUACAUUAACAGCAAGACAUAAAAUGAACUCGUUUUAGUAAAAUAACAAACGAUUAGAAUUCUCUAAAUGUUAGCUCAACAAUUGAGCUUCCCUUUACACUAUGAGUGGGCCUAAUGGUCAACCAUGGGAGUAUGGAAGAAAGUACAUAAUAGUAGAAACUGAUAUUGUUGCAAAAGAUUUACCUUUCAAUAUUGGGCACAAGGUAUAUUGGACAAUUAAAAAGCUUAAUUUUGAUCUUCAAGUAGUCGGAGAAAAACGCCUUUUGUAACUCAAUGAGAUGGAUGAAUUUCGUCACGAAGCAUAUGAGAGUGCAAGAAUUUACAAAGAAAAUAUGAAACGAUGACAUGAUCAGAAAAUCAUAAGGAGAAGUUUUGAGCUUGGCCAACAUGUUCUUCUAUACAAUUCUUGUUUGAGGUUAUUUCUAGGAAAGUUGAAAUCUUGUUGUCUGAAACUUUCAUUGUGAUGAAAGUAUAUCAUCAUAGAGCAAUAGAGGUGGCUGAUGAUAAAUCAACCUUCAAAGUGAAUGGGCAAUAAUUAAAGAACUAUUGGGGUGACGAUUUUGAUCGAUAAAGGUCCUCAAUCACACUUAUUGAUGCACUUUGAAUCAGAGACAGUCAAGUCAAAGACUAUAAAUCAAGCACUUCUUGGGAGGCAACCCAAGCACUCUAACUUGGGUAGACUUACACUUAUAAAUCAAGCGUUGAGUAGGUGGUUUGAUUUGCAUAUAGGGUAAAUAUACCCCUAUAAGUUAUAUGUAGCCAGGAUUAGAGUACGAACUUAAUGAAUCUUUCUUUAAUUUAAUUUUCAUAGACACACAGUAAGUUAAUUGGGAGAGAUAUUUUUAUGAAAAACUCGACAAAGACUUGUAAAUAAUUUAAGACUUUAGGUUAUCAACUGAAUCCAUUAAGCUAAAUUAAGAGAGAAAGACAAUAAUUAGAUGAAAUAUUGAGGGACAUCAUAAUCUUAGGUUUAAAAGUCAAUCAAAUAAAAAAAAGUAAUUUUGCUAAGUAAAUUUAGAUUAGUUUUAGUUUUUUAAGUUAGAUUUUAUUUUGCUUUUAAUUUUAGAGUUUGGAUAAAAUUAGGGUGUGUAAUUUUAGUGAUUAAUAGUGAGAAUUAACUCAAUUCCCUGUGGGAUUGACACUCUACUUAUCAUUAUAUUAUCUUUGCGAUAAGUAUACUUGCAUGGGUAGUAAAUUGAAUAACAGAUCACAACUUCAUUAAUUGAGUUUAUUAUUGUCCAGUAUCAUCUAUGGAUGGUCCAAACCUUCUUAGAGUGUAUUGUGUUCGCAAUAAUUGUAAUAGUUGUAAUAUAUAGCCUAAGGAAUGGUUUUGCAUGGGCUUUGGCUAGUAUAUAGUGUCAGCUACGUAAAGAACAUUUGCACAAACAAAUAUAAUUGGAGCCUCAAUCCCAUAUGUACAUUAUAAUGAGUUGUUUUUUUUUUGGUUAAGUUUUUAUUUAUAAGAAAUAAAUACUUUUAUAUUUGUAAAAUAAUAAAAAUUAUUUUUUACUAAUAGAUGUAGUAAGGUUUUGAGAGGCUAUGUGCUUGGAUAUGGGAUUGUGAUUUAGUUCUACGUCAUACUAUUUUACUACAAAAAAGGCCUUGGGAGUUUGGAAAAGUAUAUUGCUUUACUCAAUUUUAAUCUAACCAAUUAUUCACUAGGUAAUGAAGUUAAUCAAUUUUUGCUUUAUAAUGAAAUUUUAAGAUGGAAAACAUUUUCCUUUAUUUUGUUAGGAGUUAAGAUCAUUCUAAUUUUUUAUUUUUAAUUGUAGAUUCAAAACUUUCAACAACAGGUUCUAACUAACAUGCAUAAAUGGUGGCUGACCCUUUUUGAGCCCAAUAAUGGGACUUUUUGGCUAAGCCUUGCGAUGUGUUGUCACAUCCCAAUUCUAAGGACAUGACUGAUGUAAGGGUCUAAUGGAUAGGGACCACUCGACCCAAGUAAGCCCUAGUAAUAAUGGAUAGAAUCAAACAACAAAACAUAAUGCCACAAGACGUAUCUCUAUGCAUAUGUAUGUAUGUCUACAUAUAUCUCAUGCUUAACAUUCAUAACAUAAAUAAGUUUUAAAACAGAUAAAGUUAUACGCCAUCUCGGUAAAGUAUGUAAACUUAUUACAAAGAAUAAAACAAAGUAUGAUAGACCCAACAAGCAGACAAGCAUAACCAAAAUAGACAACGAAGUAUGAGCUAAAAAAAGGGUGAUGUUUACUAGAUGCCUCAUCGACCACUUACCAUAUAAUAGACGUAGCUUUUUCAAAAGGACAAUUAGCCAAGUAAUCUAUUGAUCUAAAACAAACAAAUGCAACUUGUGUGUGUGAGUAUAAAAACUCUAUGAGUAAAUAUAGGGAUGGGUAACAAGCUAAAUAAAAGAGUAUUUAUACAAAACACAUUGUAAAAAAUGUGAACAUAAUUUCAAACCUCAAAUCUUUCUCAUAUUUCACACCCAAGUGUUAUCAAACUUGAUUUAGAAAGUUUUAACUAUAAACUAAAUCUUUGAUAAGUUUAGUUUGGAAUAACAACUUCAAAAACAUCUCAAAAAUCCUUUUAAAGAAUGAAAAUUUCAAAAAUAAGUCAUAAGUAUCGAUAUCUCAUUUAAGGGUAUCUACACUUAUCAAAUAGAAUGACUUCCAAGGCAUUUUGGACACAAGAUAUCAAUACUUACACGGAAAGUAUUGGUACUUUUGACACAAAAUAGAGCUUACUAGCUUUCAAGAAAGUAUUGACACUAUUAACACCUAAUGCAUUUAUGAGUAUUUCCUUGGGCUGGUAUUGAUACUUCAUGCUAGAAGUAUCAAUACUUCUUUUAUAAAAUUCCAAAUUUCAGUCUCUAAUGGUUCCUUUGGACCUUAAGCAAAGUAUAACAAACUUUCCUUUAUCAAAAUCAUCAAAAUUUAGAAAUAAUUCAAAUCAUAAACAUAAUUAAUUAUAGAUUUAACAAAUCAACAUACAGAACUGAUAUAACAACUUCCAAUUGGAUUUCCAAGUCAUGAAAUUGACAUUCAAAGUUAUUAAACUUCAUAGAGCAACACAGAGCAUUUGUGGAGCACUAACUUAAGAAAGACAGACUAAAACAGAGGAUAAUGGUAUAGUCCCCACUAUUUGGAUAUUACAGAGGGUGUCAUAACACCAAUAUAGUCUAGUGCAUAUAGCCAUCAAUUUUAAAACUGAUUAAAGAAUAAUGGUACAGUCCCCACUAUUUGGACAUUAUAGAAGGUCUUAUUAUACUAAUAUAGUUUGAUGCAUAUAGUCACCGACAUCAGAAUAGAACAGAUCGUUGUUGUAGAACCUCGAUUAACGUAUAAGGGAAAACUAGGAAAUUCACUUGGUGAGCUCAUGAAAAACUCCUUACUGACCCAAAUACUUUUAGAAUCACCCUUAAACUUACUUAUAUGAGUGAGAAAAGGCAUUCGGAGGGUGAGGAAACUAGAAACUUAGCAAAAGAAGGCCAAUUUUAUAAUUUGUCCCAGAAAGAUCAACCCUCCACAAGUUUUUAGGCCAACCUUGGCUAAUUCGUCCAUUUCACUCUCUUUAAGCUCUUUCACUUUUCUAUCUUCUCUUCAACUUGAACUCUUUCACUCCUUUCACGCCUUAAUUCCCUCUCAAGUUAGGCUAACUGAAGCACUAGUAAUUGAAUCUAAGGUGAGUUAUGACUUUUCAAGCUUUGGAUUAAACUAGUUUUAUUUCUAACUUUAUAUCUCUAUAAUUUCAGCUUGGUUUCUUUAUUUGAUAUAAAGAUUUCAGUGCGAAUUCUCCCCAAUAGGCUCACCAAGGUGAGGACCCCCCUUAGUUUGUGAAUUUGAUGGUUGGAAGAUAGUGAUAUUGAGUUGAAUAAGGUUGAAGGAACUAGUAAGAAUUUUAGUCGGCUAGUUCUAAAUGAAAAAAGUUAAGAGGAAUUCAUGUGGAAUGUGGUUGUUUUAGGUUACAUUGACGCUCCAAGGAUCAAUUUGGAGCAACUUGUGUUGAGUUAAUUGUCUGUAUCAAAAGGAGGCAUUAGAGGUGAGUGAAUUGCAUUUAAACUGUUUUUCUAUGCAAAUGUGUAUAAACAAUGUUUUACACGCACACUAGAAUUCAUGUUUCAAUGUUGAGUUCCAAAUUAAGAUUUGUGAUGAAAUUGUUCAUUGAACAUGUUUUGGUAUUAUUAUAUAUAUGUAUAAAUAUACUUACUAUAUGGUAUUCAAAAAUGCAUAGGGAAUAAGCCUUUUAAGGAUUUCCUAGAGAAAGUGAUGACUUUCAUGGAAAUGUUAUGUGAGUCACACAGUGGCUAUACUUGAACUGUUAUUGGCUUGUAUAAAUGAAUGAAUGAGCUUGAUGCUUGACUUUGAUAUGUAAAACCUUGGAAUAAGGUUUGUUUUGGUGGGAAUUAGCCUUCAAGUGAGGAUGUAUAUUGAAAAUAUAUGGACAAAUGGUACAUAAUGGAGGUGAAUGAGUUCACCUAUUUGACUAUGAUAUAGUAUAUGAAUAGAGCAUAAUGCAUGAUGCUUAUCUAUGUGUACUAAGUGGGACACAUGAUUGAUACUUAUCUAGCAAGGCUUGGUGCUAAACAUGUGCAGUGAGUAAAAGAAAGAGAGAGAGCUGGAACAAUUACAUUUGUAUUUUCUGAAAAUCAAGUCAAGCUUAAAAUCCUUCAAAAAUGGUGUCUUCAAGAGAAAGAAAGCAGGAGAAGGUUUAAAAAUGCUAAAAAUGGUAAUGAAUGGCGGAAUAGGGCUUAAAAGGGUUUAAAGUAGCUUAUUUAGGCAAUUUUUAGGUACGAAAACUUUGUUUUAUCUUUUUUAUUUUUGUGAAAAUAGUGACAAAAAUCGAUACUUUUGUUCUAGGUUUCAAGUUUCAAUACUUAUUCAUCGAGUAUCAAUACUUGUUCUUCAAAAUCCUUUUUAAAAGCUUUCUAGGCAACAAGUAUUGAUACCUCCUUCAUGAGAAUCGAUACUUCUGCUCCAGAAUGUUAAAAUUAACUUGGAAACUUACCCAUUUUGACUCGUCUCUCUUUAACACUUACCAAAUCUCUUUAGUACUUAAAAAAUAAUGUUUUUUUCCAAGUUAAAAACACUAGAUUGUUAGGAAUUUGAGAAUAUGGUGCCCUGUAAAGCAAGUUAUAUUCUCAUGUGUAAUUUCAUUUAAUUUAUUGGUAAUGAAAGGAUAUUUUGAUAAUAAGAUGAAGAGUUUGUUUUAAGUAAGCAUUCAUUAUCUAGUUAUUAAGGUACCUUGAUUCUAUUAAGAUAUUAAAAUACAUUUAUAUAAAGAGUCAUACAUAAGAGACAUGUAUUUUAAUUGAAUCUAAAAAUUAUUCACAACCAUAUAAUAAAGCUGGUCACUUUAUUGUAUUAAGGUUGUAUUGUCUAGAUUACUUCCAAUGAAACGAAUGUAAUUCACUUUAAGGGAAUGAUGAGUCUCAAAUCAUUCGAAUGGUUAACUUCAAGUACUGACACUAUAACAUGAACUGGAAUUAUGUGAGAAUCAAAUUUAAGUUUAACCGUUACUUAAAUCUAGAUGUCACACUUAUACAUUUGCUUAUAGUAGAAUCGAAAUCCUAAUGGAUAGUGGACUCAUGUUUUAUCUCCUUAUAAUCUUGGAUAUACCAUAAGCAUGAUCAUCAUAAAGCAUUCAUUUAGACUCCGUAUGUUGAGAUUAUAAUUAAGGUGAACAUCCGAGAACAUAUAUCCAAAUAGUGGAGUUCAUAAUAUUAACAUCACUUCUAAUAAUUUUAGGAAGAUGGGUGAUUAAUUUGGGCUUGGUAGAUUGAUGAAUUAGCUAUCCAUCACAUCUUGAUACUCAAAAGAUUAGAUCUAGAGUAUUCAAUCACUAAUUGGAUGAAAUCUGAAGCUAAGGGACAAAAUUGACGUAAAGGGUAAAACGGUAAUUUUAUCUUUUGUCAUUAGAUGGUUAUGAUGGUUCACAAUAUAAGGUUUACAAUUGGACAACUAAUAACUAAUAUCAAGUAUUGACUCAUUUCUUGUAAUCAUAGUUAAUCCAAGAGUGCAACCAUGAAUCUAUGGUAGAGUGAUUUCAUGGUUAAUAAGCUUGAAUUAUCUUAAUGAUAUUAAAAAUAAUUCUAACUUUAUUGGAGUUUGGAAUGUCUAUUUCCAAAUAGAUUCCCCACUUAGCUUCGUAGAAUUCAAAUUAUUUAAUUUGGAAUGCAUGUUUUAUUUGAUUAAUUAAAUUAUGUACAAAAAUGACAACUUUUACAUGUUUGUCUUAAUUUAGACAAGAAAACAUGUUUUGUCUUAAAUUAGAUAAGAAAACAUGUUUUGUUUUAAUUUAGACAAGAAAACAUGUUUAGAAAACAUGUUUUGUCUUUAUUUAGACAAGAAAACAUGUUUUGUCUUAAUUAAAGAUAAGAGUUGUCUUAAAUUAAGAUAAUGGUAGGAGGAUUCUUGCAAAAUGAAUUUAGACAUCCAUGUUAAUAAAAAGAGACUCCAUGUUUAACUAGUACUCCUUUAUUUAUUAUUAAUUCUUUUUAAAUAAAAAUGGAUAAUAAUAAAAUAAAAGUUAUUAUUCAACAAGGAGUUUUAUUUUAUCAAGAACUCUAAAUAAUGAUUAAAUAAUUAAAUUAUUUAUUGUUUAAUUUUAAUUUUGAUAGUUAUGGAGCAUAUUUAAUGCAUCCAUAACUCUAAAUGGACGAUCAAGAUUGAUUCAAACGUAUGAUAACUCUAUUAUAUAGAGUUAUUUUGAUACAUUUUGGUGGCUUAAGUAGUUAGAUCUUUCAGAUUUUAGGUUCAGAUCGUAACAUUUUAGGUGUUUUUCUAGUUUAGGUUUGAUUAUAUGUUGAGUAGCUAAUUUAAGUCAUUUUAGUUAAAUUUUAUGUUAUUUUGUUUUAAAUUACUUUAAGAGUAGCUAUUGCUAUUUUCUCUUAUUGCUUUUGUAGGAAUUUGAUGAAAAAGACUCAGUUGAUGAAAAUCAGUGCAAGUAUGGUGAUGGCUUCAUUUAUAUGUUUCAGUAUUUUGACCAUAUCUCUCUAUACAAAACUCCAAAUGAGGUGAUUCUUAGAUCACUAGAAUUCUCAAAAGAAGGGAUAUAACGUUUAUGUUUACCAAUUUGCCAAGUUCUAAUCAGAUCGUGGUCAAGAUAUUUGUCUAACUCGAAGCACUGCAAUAGUAUGCAUGGACUGAAUAAUGAGGUAUUUGGAGUAUAUCUUUCAAUCCAAAAGUUCAAUUGAUGUGAUUCUUGAUCCAUUGCAAAGCUAAGAGAUAGGACUAAAACUUUUAUGUUUACCACUUUGUCCAAUUCAGAACAUAUUAGGGUGAAACUCAUGUUUUAAGCUGAUAGACUGCCAUUGCGCUGGGAGAACAAGGCUGCAGCUUUGAUGAAAGGAAGCACACAUACAAUUUUCCAGAGAGCUCAGCACUGCAGCGUUGGAGAAGUAGCACCGCAGCGUUGGGCAAUUUUUAAAAAAUAAAAAGAGUUAACGGGAUUUUGGAAAUUAAAUUUUUUGGAGCCUUUUUAAGAAACCUUUAUUAGAGAUUUUAAGGGGGAGGCAACAAGCAACUAUUCUAGAGAUUUAGAGCCAAGAACAAAGCAAGAAAAUAAGAGAAUUGGAGGGAGAAUCAAGAUCAUAAAGCUUCAAUUAUUAGUUUUCUCUUUCUACUUUUGUGUUUUUCUUAUUUUCUUUGACUUUGAUUAAUGGCUAAUUUUCUUUGGAUGAAGUUAGCUAAAUAUGUUUUUCUAGGAUUGCAAUUAAACUCACAUGUAAUCUAAACCUUUAAUCUCUUUUUUUCUUAUCUUUAAUGGGAUUUGAAUUGUUUAUUCCAAUUUGUUCUUAAUGCUUUUAAUUGACUGAUCAUCAAUUAAACUGAUUUAGGAACCUAAACAAACUUGAAAAAUGGAGUUUACUGUAGACUAAAAUUGGGAUAGCAUAUGGUCAUAUUAAUUAAUUUGCGUAUAGGAUAGGGAUAUACCUAUAGGCUUCAUGUAGCUAGAUUAGAGCUUGAACGUAAUGAGUCUAUUUUAACUUCAACUCACAUAGGGAUAUAGUAUUUUGGUUAAAAUAGAUAUUUUUAUAAGAUGAGUCGGGAGACCUUUACAAAUAAUUAAGGACUCUAGGUUAGCAAUUUAACCCAUUGAAAUAAGUUAAGAAAAAGAGUUAAGAUUUAGAUGAAGUGUGAGGAACAUUUAAUCCUAGGCUUAUUUGAUUUGCUGUUUACCCAAUUAUCUUGUUGCUUUAAUUUUUAAUUAAAUUAGUUUUAGUUGAGUAAUUUAGUUUAAUUAGAAUUCAGAUUUUAAUUAUUCGAAUAAAAUUAAAUAGUUCUAAUUUUAGUACUUAGUAAAAUUUUAGAUCAAUUCUCUUUGGAGUCGAUACUCUGCUUGUUUAUAUACUAUAUAUUCGAUACAUAUACUUGAUACUUUUCAAAACAUUUAACCACAUGUUUAUAAUUAAAGUAAGCUCUAAUUGUGAAAAAACUUUCUAUCUCAUCACUUUUUUACCAUAAUACUAUAAAAAUAUCAAUAUUUAUCAAUUGUGUUAGACAUCCAAAACUUAUACUUAUGUGUAUUUAUCAAAUGAUGAUCAUUGAAAUAUUUUUUAUCAUAACUAUUAGUAAGAUUUAUUCAAUUUAUAAAUAAAAAAUUUAAUUGCAUUGAAUGAUUUCAUUAAAAAAUAUUUUUUAAUUUUAAUAUUAAAAAAUUUAAAAAAUUUAAGUUAAAUAUUAAUAUAUUUUAAUUUUUUAAUAUUUUAAGUUAAAUAUUAAUAUUCAUCAAACCCAUAUUCGUAGACUUACUUAAGAGUUUUUUUUUUCCUUGUAAAAUGUCUUUUUGUAGUCAAUGAUUGUUUGUUUUAUUGACUCGUAAAAUGUUUUACAUUUAGAAUAAAAUUUUCGUCUUUCAAAUAAGUCUUGAAAACAUUUUAUAAGAAAUAUUUUAAGUGAAAACAAAUGAACUCUAAAUCUAAAAUAAAAAACUAAACCAUGAUAGUACAAAAAUCAUUGGAAGUCAAAAAGUUAACGAACCAACGACUAAGACUCCAUGAUAGUACAUCACCACUUAAAAAAUGGACGUACUUUCAUCAUCUUGUCAAAGCUAAAUUGAGAUUCAUGAAGUAGCGUGUUGGAAGGGUUAAAGUAAAUAACCCUUCUCAUAAGCUUAAUUCAAAGAUACCCCUUCAUAUAAUUUUAAUUAUUUUUACCCAAUUUUUGGCAUGACUUGACAACAAUUUCCUUUAAACAAUUUCAGACAAAUUAAAUGGUUUCUAUUUGCCAUCUAGGAAAAAAGUCCAAUAGUCAAUCCCCAUUUCUCUCUUUUACCGAAUACUGUCUAUUUAUCCAACUUUUGUCGCCAUUCCAAAGAGCAGAGAUGACAUCAAAGUAUGUGUUUUGAAUUUUGGAUUUAUUGGUUUAUAUUCAUAGAAUAGAACCCCAAAGUUGAGGGAUUGAAAUUGAUUAAACAUAUCUAUAAAUUAGAACAAUGUAUGACUUCAGUAACUUAAACCUGACUUCGAGCAAGUAAAUCAAUUAGUUAUUAAGCAUUGCAAGACUGGUUUUUAGGCAUUACGAGAGUGGUUUUUAAGCAUUUCAAGAUUUGCUUUAAGGCAUUAAGUGAAAGGUUUUAGGUAUUGCUUGACUAGUUUUUAGGUAAUGCGUGACCGAUUUUAUGCAUUGCAUGAUUAGGUUGUAGGCAUGGCGUGAUUGCUUUAAGGAAUUGCUUGGCAUAGGCAUUGUGAGAUUACCUUUUGAGCAUUGCAUGACUUAAUUAUUCAGUGUCUAGUUUUGAGUUAUUGCAUGACUGUUUGAUAAGGCUUUGCGUGACUGACUUUAAGGCAUUGUGUGACUGACUUUUAGGCAUUGCACAUCUAGUUUUGAGGCAUUGUGGGACUUAGGUAUUGCGUGACUAGUUUUUUAGGCAUUGUGUGACUCAUUUUUUGGCAUUACGUGGAUUUUAUUAGGCAUUGCGUAAUACGUUUUUGAUAAAUUGAUUGAUUGUGACACUUAUUUUCAUUAAAUUUUAGUGACCUACCAAUGUGAAGCAUAUGAUUACAUAUGGUGGUAAUUGGGUUGAUGACACUUACAAAAGUGGUGAGACAUGAGUGAGGGGUAUUAGGAGUGAUUUGUCGUUUUUAGGACUGAUGAAGUGAGUUUAAGAUGUUGUUGAGGUAAACUGAUGGAAUCAUGAAAUUAAGCUACAUGCAUUGCUAAGUUAUGUUGUAGGGGUUUCACACCCAGUAAUCAAGGACGAUGAAGAUGUAGCAACUAUUCUAGGAGAUGUGAGGGCAGUUGUAGUGUUUGUGACCGUUAAGGAACGACAUAAAAAUGUUAUGCCACAUGAACAAGCUAUCUAACAUAAUAAUGACCUAAAUUAGAUUUGUACUGCUUUGGACAUACCACACCAUGCAGUCCCUAACUAACAACAAUAGUAAUCACCAUCAACAUAUGAACAUGAGUAUGAGCAGCCUGAUAGACACAUGAGGUGUCUGCAAAUGCUAUUUGCACAAUUCUGAUCAGAAUGUGCAUCGAACCAAUUGCUUCGUUCUUGCCAACAAAUGCAAUCGUUGCUUAUGACUGCAGUGGGUCCAUUGUUAUUCUCAAAUGACAUUGUGACGGCUGUAAGUGAUGACGAUGCAUCUGAUGAGAUGCAUGAUGACUGUGUAGAGGAUGACACUUUUGAUUGGAAUGAUGACUAUUAUGUUGGCAAGCAUGAUAACUAUUUAGAAGAGUACAGGGGCUAAGACAAUGACAUUCUUGAUUGUAGUCACACAGAUGGCAGUACAAAACACACCACAACUAUUGUCUUAAAAGAUGUUGAGUGCAAUGACCUUAUUUACAACAACCCCAUCUCUAGUGAUAACAAGAUUCGUUCGCCCAAUGAUAGUGAUCAGGAAAGGGUAAAUGCAGGGGUAUCUCGUUAAUGAAUUAUUCCGAGUGCAGAUAUGAUCUCCAAAUAGUUGGCAUUGGGGAGUCUAGAUUAAGUGAUGAUUGCUUAUACCUAGAAAAAGUGUUUCCCUCAAAGGUUGAAUUGAAACGAGCUUUGAACAUAUUGCCACUAAAAGAGCAUUUCUAGCUUAGAGUUAAAAAGUCAUGUCAUGCUCGUUUUGAGGUUGCUUAUAAGGACAAGGCAUGUAAGUUCACUGUGCAUGCAACAAAGUUUCCUAAUGGAGAUUAUUGGCAAGUUCGCACAUUCCAUAAGUUACACAUAUGUACUGUUAAUGGUUUGUAAGGUGGGUACCAAACAACGAACAUGGGGUUAAUCGGUAAGCUAAUGUCCCCCAGCUUGCAAGGAAAUAAUGUAACACCAUUGAGACCUAAGGAAAUAAUAGAAGAGAUGAAUCACAAAUGGGGAUUGCAAUGCUUGUAUGGUAAGGCCUGACAAGGGAAAAAGUAUGCAAAGAGUCUUGUUUUUGGUCCCCCAUAGGAGUCAUUCCAACUUCUACCCUCAUAUUUCCAUAUGUUGGAAUGUGAAUAUCCUGGUACGGUCACAAUUACGGCUACUGAUCAGGCACAACCAUUCAAAUUGUUUUUGGGAUGCAAGGCAUGUAUCCGGGGGUUUAGGGUUGUAAUGUGGCCUGUAGUUGCUCCCGAUGCCACACAUCUAAAAGGCAAAUUCAAGGGUAUUCUGUUUGUUAUUGUUUGUAAAGAUGCGAAUGAGCAUAUAUUCGGUUGCAUUUAGCAUUGGGCACGUUGAGGAUAAAGAGUCGUGGUCUUGGUUUUUUACCCAAUUGCAUCGUGCGAUUAGUUAUUUUAAAAAUGCAAUGUUCAUUUUUUAUUAGCAUCUGGGCAUUAAGAAUGCAGUGGGUGUUGUCGAUAUUGCACGCGUAAGUAUAUGUAUCAAACAAGUACUAUAGACAGUAAGUCCAGAUUAUCGUUCCCACAAGGAUUUGUUUCUAAAGUUUCACUAAGUACUAAAUUAUAAAACAAAUUAAUCUUAUUUAAGAAAUCUAAAAAUUAAAGAAAAACUAAUUAAAAACAAUUAAAUAUCAACACUAAAUAAAAUAACAAACUAAAUAAGUUGAGAAAAGCAGUAUAUGAAAGACCUAGGAUUAUGGGUUCAUUCAGCAUUUCAUCUGAUACCAGCUUUUCUUAUUAUUUAUCUUUCCUUGGUAGUUUUACUAACCUAGAAUCCAAAGCUAUGGACAAGUCUUUGUUAAGUUGCUUGUACAAAUAUCUAACUUAAUUAGUUCACUAUAUGUCUAUAGGAAUCAAUUAAAUUAAGUUCAUUAAGCAGGUGUCCUAACGCGGCUAUGUAUGGCAAUUGGCGUAUGUCUACCCAAAUCGCGAAUAAGAUCACCUAAGUGACGUGAACAUACACUAUUCAAACCUUAGUCCAAUCUAAAAUCUCUUUGUCGAGUCUCAGUUAGAUUCACAAAUCAGUUAAUUGUUGACCAGACAAUCAAAAGCAUUAAGAACAGAUUUGAAUAAGCAAAAGUACACCCAUUCAUAAUAAAUAAAAAAGAAACAAAUAUUCAUAUUAUAUGUUGAAAUCUACCACAAUCCUAGAAUGGUAAUUUAGCUCAUAAUAUCUAAUAAAAACAAUAUCUAAAGAAAUUUAGCCAUGAAUUCAAGUCAAAGAAAAUAAGAAAAAUACAAAAGUAGAGAAAGAAACUAAUUCUUGAAGCUUUGCAAUUUCAAUUCUCUCUUAAAUUCUUUUGUUUUCUUGCUUUGUUCUUGACUCCAAAUCUCCAAAACAGCUGCUUGCUACCUCCUCCUUUAAACCUCUGAAAAAGGUCCCUUAAAUAGGCUCCAAGUAACCUAAUUUCCAAAAUCUUGUCAAAUUUUUAUUUUUGGAAACUCGGGGUAGUGCCAUGGCAAUGAUUUCUUGGUGCCAUGUUCUCAAGUUUUUGUAUGAUGCGCCCAUAUUGACCAGUGCCACGGCCACAAAUUUCUAGCGUUGCGGCAGUGGUUCCUUUAAUGCCACGACUUCAGUCACCCUGUUGCCUUGUGUAGAAUUGCAUCUAUCGAGCAUCGUCCAACGUAAUUUUCACCUUGAUAUGAUCCGAACUGGGAAAAUUGGUAAACAUAAAAGUUUUAUCCCUGUCUCUUAAGUUUCUAAUGGCUAGAGAAUCAAGUCAAUUGGACCUCUGGAGUGAAAGAUAUGCUCCAAAUACCACAUCAUGUUGAGUCCAUGCAUACUACUAUAGUGCUUGGACUUAGACAAUAUUUUGAUCACUAUUCGAUUAGAACUGGGCAAAUUGGUAAACAUAAACAUUGCAGCCCUUCUCUCAGCGUUAUAGUGGUCCAAGAAUCAAUUUAUUUGGAGUUUUGUAUAGAGAGAUAUGAUCAAAAUACCAAAAUAUAUACAAAUAAAGUCAUCACCAUACUUGCUCAGAUUUUCAUCAAAUGAGCCUUUUUUAUCAAAUUUCCUACAAAAUAAAUAAAAGAAACCAACAAUAACUACUCUUAAAGUAAUUUAAAACAAAACAUAAAAUUUCAUUAAAAUAACUUAAUUUAACUACUCAACAUGUAAUCAAACUUAAACUAAAAAAACAUGUAAAAUGUUACGAUCUGAACCUACAAUCUCAAAAGUCCAACUACUUAAGCCCACAAAAUGUAUCCAAAUAACUCUAUAUAAUAGAGUUAUCAAUGGGAAAAGUGUACCAUGAUGUGCGCCACGAUCUUUGCAAUUACCUCUUGGGAAAAAAUGUUAAAAACAGGUUCAAGCGUUAAGACGUUGCAGUGAUUUUCACCCUUACAUCCAACUGCUACAGCAAGGUCAAUUUCAAUAGACAUAUGAAUAAACUAAAUCAAAUUUUACAAUGAUGCUUAUGAUAACUCUAUUAUAAAGAGUUAUUGUAACACAUUUUGGGGGUUUAAGUAGCUAGAUCUUUGAGGUUUUAGGUCAGGAUUUUAGCAUUUUGGGUGUUUUUCUAGUUUAUGUUUGAUUACAUGUUGAGUAGUUAAUUUAAAUUAGUUUAGUUUAGUUUUAUUUUAUUUUGUUUUAAAUUACUUUAAGAGUAGUUAUUGCUAAUUUCUCUUAUCGCUUUUGUAGGAAAUUUGAUGAAAAAGGCUCAUUAGAUGAAAAUCUAUGCAAGUAUGGUGAUACGUUCAUUUGUAUAUGUUUUAGUAUUUUGACCAUAUAUCUCUAUACAGAACUCCAAAUGAGGUGAUUCUUAGAUCACUAGAAUUAUGAGAGGAAGGUAUAGAACUUUUAUGUUUACUACUUUGCCCAGCCCGAAUUGGAUUAUGGUCAAAAUAUUUUUCUAAUUUGGAGCAUUGUAGUAGUAUGCAUGGACUAAACAUGAUGUGGUAUUUGGAGCAUAUCCUUCACUCCAAAAGUCCAAUUGAUGUGAAUAUUGAUCCAUUGGAAAAUUAAGAGAUAGGGAUAAAACUUUCAUGUUUACCACUUUUUCCAGUUUGGAUCAUAUCAAGGUGAAAAUAGCAUUGGAACAUGCUCAACUGCUGUAGUUCUACAAUAGGCAACAGAUGGAGGAAGGACGCGGCCUUGAGUUACUCAAGGCUGUAGCACUGAGGAAUCGAAGGCCGCAAUGCUAAGGAGAACAAGGCUGCAGCACUGAUGAAAGGAAGCACACCAUACAUUUUUCUGAGGCUAAAGCGCAGCCACGCUACUGUGACAAAAAUUCAACGUCGCGACACAUGAUGAUUUUUCAAAAAUAAAAAUUUGACGAGAUUUUGGAAAUUAGGUUACUUGGAGCCUAUUUAAGGGACCUUUUUGAGGGGUUUUAAUGGGGAGGCAACAAGCAACUACUCUAAAGAAAAGGAGCUAAAAAAAAAGCAAGAACACAAAAGAAUUUGAGAGAGAAUUGAAAUUGCAAAGGUUCAACAUUGAGUUUCUUUCUUUAUUUUUGUGUUUCUCUUAUCUUCAUUGACAUGGAUUUAUGGUUAAAUUUCUUUAGAUAUUGUUUUUAUUAUAUAUUAUGAACUAAAUUAUUUUUCUAGAAUUGUGGUGGAUUUCAACAUGUAGUUUGAGUAUUUGUUUCUCUUUUAUUUACUAUGAAUAGGCAUAGUUUUUUCUUAUUCGAAUAUGCUCUUAAUGCUUUUGAUUGUCUGGUCAACAAUUAACUGAUUUGUAAUUCUAAUUAAGACUCGAUAGAGAGAUUUUAAAUUGGACUAAGGUUUGAAUAGUGUAUAUUUAUGUCACUUAGGUGAUCUGAUUCGCGAUUCGGGUAGACAUAUGCCAAUUGCCAUACAUAGCCAAAUUAGAACACUAGCUUAAUGAACUUUAUUUAAUUGAUUCCUAUAGACAUAUAGUGACUUAAUUAAGUUAGGUAUUUAUGCAACCAUCUUAAUGGAGACUUGUACAUAGCUUUGACUUUUAGGUUAGUAAAACCACCCAUGAAUGUAAAUAAUAAAAGAAUCUAGUAUAAGAUGAAGUGUCGUAUCAGAUGAAGUGUCGAAUGAAUCGAUGGUCUUAAGUUUUAGUCUAUUGCCUUCUUCAAGUAAUUUUAAUUUCUAUUAGUUAACUUAGUGCUUGUUUUAAUUUUAUUUUAAUUAAUAUUUUGAAAAAUUUAGUUACUUAAAUAAGAUUAAUUUGUCUUAAAUUUUAGUAAUUAGCAAAGAUUUAGGAACAAAUCUCCAUAGGAAUGAUACUUUGCUUCAUCACUAUAUUACUUGUUCGAUACGCAAACUUGCAUGUGCAAAAUCGACAAUAGUUUAUGAUAUGACCGUCUUAUGAAAUUACGCCCUGAGAGAUGGGCACGUGCACUGUCACCAAUAAGAUGCUACAAACUCAUAACAUCGAACAUUGUAGAGUGUAUUAACUUGUGUUUGAGGUAGGCAAGAAAAAUGCCGAUCACCGUCUUGAUCGAGUGCAUUAGAGGCAUGUUCCAGCGUUAGUUCCAUGAAUGAAACAAGGAAGGCCUCAAUUUAAUCAUGCCCCUUAGCCCUUGGGCUACUAAUCUGUUUAACACACGGUUCAAUGAAGCAUGUCACUUUUUUACACAAGUAAUCAAUCGAGUGGAGUUCCAAAUUAUUGACAGGAGUAAAGACAAAGUAGUCAACUAGUCCACCAAGACGUAUUCAUGUGGGGAGUUCCAAACUGAUAUACUCCCCUACAACCAUGCCAUGGUAGCAAUAAGGUAUGAAUAUCCAUGUUUCUUCUUUGCUUUGUAAGGAAUUGAACUUUUACAUGGUUCCUCAACUGUGAGUUCAUUGCCUUUGUAAUAAUUAUAAAAAUACAGCCAUUGAAUUCUACUCAGACUAUUACAAGACUUGGUCUUAGGUGGAGGGUUAUGUUGUUCUUAUUCACCCGGUUAGGCAUCCUAGUGAUUGGGACAUGCCCCUUGAUGUGAAACAAAUUGUCAUUUUGCCACCACCUUGGCGAGGUUAAGUGGGAAGACCUAAGAGGAAAAGGAUUCCAUCGAUUGGGGAAAGUAGUCGAUGAUGGAGAUGUUCACAAUGCAAGAGCUAUGAUUGUAAUAGACAAAAUUGACCCAAUGUCAUUUAUAGUUCCAUUGACAAAGCUGGGACUAUCUUCUAGUUAGUUGGCACUUCAACGACGAUAAUGAUCGAAAGCAUGUUCAACUUGUAGACAACUUGAGCACACAUGAAACCACUAUCCAAUGCGAAUGACAAACUCUAAGAAUGUAUGAGGUAUCAUAGACAAAAACAGUGACUCCAGAAAAUGAAGUGUUGGCAUGGUCUUGGUUGUAGUUGAGAGAUGUGUGAAAGAGGAAAUUUGGACGUUAAGUGCUGCUAUCUAUUGAUAUAUUCAAUUCAGGACUUAUUUUUUAAAUCCUCGAUGGCUAUCUAUUGAUAGAUUCCAUGUAUCUAUCAAUAGACGUGUGUCAAGGUCAAGUAACAUGGUUCCCGAUUGUUUAUCUAUCGAUGGAUCUUGAUAUCUAUCGAUAGAUGCAUGGCACAGUCCAGUAACAUGGUUACCCUAUUGGCUAUCUAUUAAUAGAUGCGGUUUAUCUAUUGAUAGAUGUAUGCCACGAUCUUAUAACAUGGUUCCCAAUUGGUUAUCUAUUGAUAGAUUCUGUAGAUCUAUCGACAGAUGUAUGCCAUGGUCACGUAACAUGGUUCCCGGUUGGCUAUUUAUUGAUAGAUCUUGGUAUUUAUUGAGUUUUCGGGCCUCUUUGCUUAAGUCACGCAAUGCCUAAGUUGAAAUACCCCAUACUUUGAUAUGGUGAUAAAUAAAGUUGAUCGAAUGCAGAUUGAGGUCAAUUAAAAUGUUUAGAAGUGAUAAAAGACGAAAGGAGUAGUUUAGGAUAAAAUAUUUCGCAAGUGAGAAAAUAAAAAUAAUUUUAUCGGAGGAGAAUUUGUGAGAUAAAAGGCGAUUUGGAAGUCAAGUGAGGCAUAAUAAGGUAUUUUGGGUACCAAAGAGACAAGAUAAAAUUUUUAGAAUAAAAUAAUAUUUUAUUAAUAAAAUAAUAUUAAAAUAUUAAUAUUUAGUCGGAUAUCGAAAUCAGUCAUGAAGAAGGAUCAUAUGGUUGAUCCAAGUGGGGGAAAAGAUGACAAGCCCGACUCUAUAAAAAUAUUUGUCAUGACAUACAUGUGAUGGAUAGCAUGUUUGCAUGCUAAGAGAGUCUCGAAAAACUUACAAAAAUCGGUAUUGUACCUAGACGUACAACAAAGUUGAUUUAAGCCUCGAACUAGAUCAAAUAGAGAAUUCACGAUGAAAUUAAGAAUUUUACAGUCCCAGAAUGGUUUAAUAUGGUGAUUUGGAGUUCGAGGAUCAAUUUGGUGUCAAAUCGAAAUUUUCGCUAUCUAGGGGCAAAAUGGUCAUUUGCCACUUGGGGACAAAAUGAAAAUUUUUGAAAAGAUUUUUUUGGCCCCAUUUGACUUAUUGGAGUAUAAUUUGACUUAUUGGACUAAGAUUUAAGGUUUAGAAGUGAAAAAUUUUAAUUUCGAUAUAAUUUGGAGUAAAAGGGUAAAAUGGUAAUUUUGCCACCCGAGGGGUAAAAUUGUAAUUUUUCACCACCAGGACAUUUUCCAGCAUAUGGUCUUCCUUUAUUCUCAUUUUGACCAUUGACUAAUUGUGUGGUGGAGAUAAAAAGGAUUAAAAUUUUUAAAGUUUUAAAAACGGGCCAAUGACAUGAUGUCACGUGUCAUGCCUUUAUUAAUUUAUUAUUUUCCUUUUUAAAAGGCACAAAAAUCAGAUCAUCUUCCACCCCAUGGCCGGCCAAACCAGCAAGAAGAGAGAGAAAAUAAAAACAAAACCCUAGAGAGAAAAAAAUCAAAGAAAAAGUGUGAAUUUUCAAGGAAAUUAAGUGAAAAAGGUGAGAUUUUUCUAUUAAGCUUGAGUUUUCUUAUUCCCAAGCAUUUUUCUUUAUUUUCCAUGAUUAAAUUACAUGUUUUCAUGAUGAAUUCAAUUCUGAAAAAAUGGGUUAGGAGAGAGAAAGUUGUUGGAUUUAUUUGAUUUUAAUUUAUGUUAGUGUUUUUAGUUAGUUUAGCAUAUUUAGAAACAAAACAACAAGAAAAGAAUUUAUUUUCUCCCCCAACCAUUAAUGGCUGAAUUUACCAUGUAGUGAGUGAGGAUGAGUUUGAUUUUAUUCUAGGAGAAUUGGUUAAGGAAUAAUGAAUUAUGAGCCUAGAAAAAUAAUGNNNNNNNNNNNNNNNNNNNNNNNNNNNNNNNNNNNNNNNNNNNNNNNNNNNNNNNNNNNNNNNNNNNNNNNNNNNNNNNNNNNNNNNNNNNNNNNNNNNNNNNNNNNNNNNNNNNNNNNNNNNNNNNNNNNNNNNNNNNNNNNNNNNNNNNNNNNNNNNNNNNNNNNNNNNNNNNNNNNNNNNNNNNNNNNNNNNNNNNNNNNNNNNNNNNNNNNNNNNNNNNNNNNNNNNNNNNNNNNNNNNNNNNNNNNNNNNNNNNNNNNNNNNNNNNNNNNNNNNNNNNNNNNNNNNNNNNNNNNNNNNNNNNNNNNNNNNNNNNNNNNNNNNNNNNNNNNNNNNNNNNNNNNNNNNNNNNNNNNNNNNNNNNNNNNNNNNNNNNNNNNNNNNNNNNNNNNNNNNNNNNNNNNNNNNNNNNNNNNNNNNNNNNNNNNNNNNNNNNNNNNNNNNNNNNNNNNNNNNNNNNNNNNNNNNNNNNNNNNNNNNNNNNNNNNNNNNNNNNNNNNNNNNNNNNNNNNNNNNNNNNNNNNNNNNNNNNNNNNNNNNNNNNNNNNNNNNNNNNNNNNNNNNNNNNNNNNNNNNNNNNNNNNNNNNNNNNNNNNNNNNNNNNNNNNNNNNNNNNNNNNNNNNNNNNNNNNNNNNNNNNNNNNNNNNNNNNNNNNNNNNNNNNNNNNNNNNNNNNNNNNNNNNNNNNNNNNNNNNNNNNNNNNNNNNNNNNNNNNNNNNNNNNNNNNNNNNNNNNNNNNNNNNNNNNNNNNNNNNNNNNNNNNNNNNNNNNNNNNNNNNNNNNNNNNNNNNNNNNNNNNNNNNNNNNNNNNNNNNNNNNNNNNNNNNNNNNNNNNNNNNNNNNNNNNNNNNNNNNNNNNNNNNNNNNNNNNNNNNNNNNNNNNNNNNNNNNNNNNNNNNNNNNNNNNNNNNNNNNNNNNNNNNNNNNNNNNNNNNNNNNNNNNNNNNNNNNNNNNNNNNNNNNNNNNNNNNNNNNNNNNNNNNNNNNNNNNNNNNNNNNNNNNNNNNNNNNNNNNNNNNNNNNNNNNNNNNNNNNNNNNNNNNNNNNNNNNNUUUAGAUGGUAUCUGUUUACUCACUGGGAUUUUAUAAUCUCACCACCCUCAUUUCCUCACAUUUCAGGCUCAGGGAAUUUCGUAGUUAGCUGACUUGAACAAGGACCUUCAUUUGGACUCGAAUCGGUAAAAGCUGUAGGUUUUCAGCUUCCGAUGCAUUUUGGAUAGAUAUGGGCCCACGUGUCACUGUAAAAGAAAUUUUAUGCUUUGGUUAUUUGCUUUAUAGUAUAUAUGAAUAUAAUUAUCUUUUACGCUAUAAGAAUUAUGUACCGAUAGUUUUAUGAAAAUUAUUUUACAAGAAAAUAAUUUAUUUUAUUGAAUAUUUUU